rnacentral:rRNA from 1 species
AACGCUAGCUACAGGCUUAACACAUGCAAGUCGAGGGGCAGCACAAGGCAGCAAUGCUGAGGUGGCGACCGGCGCACGGGUGCGUAACGCGUAUCCAACCUUCCCGUUACUCUUGGAUAGCCUUCCGAAAGGGAGAUUAAUACAGGAUGGUGUUGAAAUUCCGCAUGUUAUUUCAACUAAAGAUUUAUCGGUAACGGAUGGGGAUGCGUGACAUUAGAUAGAUGGCGGGGUAACGGCCCACCAUGUCCACGAUGUCUAGGGGUUCUGAGAGGAAGGUCCCCCACACUGGAACUGAGACACGGUCCAGACUCCUACGGGAGGCAGCAGUGAGGAAUAUUGGUCAAUGGCCGGAAGGCUGAACCAGCCAAGUAGCGUGAAGGAUGAAGGUUCUAUGGAUUGUAAACUUCUUUUAUACGGGAAUAAAACCUCCCACGUGUGGGAGCUUGUAUGUACCGUAUGAAUAAGCAUCGGCUAACUCCGUGCCAGCAGCCGCGGUAAUACGGAGGAUGCGAGCGUUAUCCGGAUUUAUUGGGUUUAAAGGGAGCGUAGACGGGAGAUUAAGUCAGCUGUGAAAGUUUGAGGCCCAACCUUAAAAUUGCAGUUGAUACUGGUUUCCUUGAGUGCGGUUGAGGUGUAUGGAAUUCGUGGUGUAGCGGUGAAAUGCUUAGAUAUCACGAAGAACUCCGAUUG